UACGUAGGGUGCAAGCGUUUGUCCGGAAUUAUUGGGCGUAAAGAGCUCGUAGGCGGUGUGUCGCGUCGGCCGUGAAAACCUGCAGCUUAACUGUGGGCUUGCGGUCGAUACGGGCAUCACUGGAGUUCGGCAGGGGAGACUGGAAUUCCUGGUGUAGCGGUGAAAUGCGCAGAUAUCAGGAGGAACACCGGUGGCGAAGGCGGUUCUCUGGGCAUUACCUGACGCUGAGGAGCGAAAGUGUGGGGAGCGAACAGG
rnacentral:rRNA from 1 species